CUGGCUCAGGAUGAACGCUAGCUACAGGCUUAACACAUGCAAGUCGAGGGGCAUCAUGGAGUUGCUUGCAAACUCUGAUGGCGACCGGCGCACGGGUGAGUAACGCGUAUCCAACCUUCCCUAUAGUAGAGGAUAGCCCGGCGAAAGUCGGAUUAAUACUCUAUGUUUUCCGUUGCAGACAUCUAAGAUGGAACAAAGGCUUGCCGCUAUAGGAUGGGGGAUGCGUCUGAUUAGGUAGUCGGCGGGGUAACGGCCCACCGAGCCAUCGAUCAGUAGGGUUCUGAGAGGAAGGUCCCCCACAUUGGAACUGAGACACGGUCCAAACUCCUACGGGAGGCAGCAGUGAGGAAUAUUGGUCAAUGGGCGAGAGCCUGAACCAGCCAAGUAGCGUGCAGGAUGACGGCCCUAUGGGUUGUAAACUGCUUUUAUGCGGGGAUAAAGUUCACUACGUGUAGUGUUUUGUAGGUACCGCAUGAAUAAGGACCGGCUAAUUCCGUGCCAGCCGCGGC
rnacentral:rRNA from 1 species